CUCAAUAGACGGUAAAAAAAAAAUUUGUACGCGCCGUGAUCUGAAUGCCUUGGUCAAGCACGAUUUAGGGUGCGUUUUUCACAGAGCACACUCUACCCGCGCCUUCAAGUAGUGUCAACUUCGAGCCAGAGAUCGAUCAAUCUUGAUUGCUACAUGAUCAUGCACAUCUUGAUGCAAAGGGUUUGAACUUAUCCAUAUGCUGGACGUGCUAGAAGUGACGGUGUAUGUACAGACAGCAAAAUUCAGAGCACACUCUACCCGCGCCUGCAAGUAGUUCAACUUUGAGCCAGAGAUUGAUCAAUCUUGAUUGCUUCAUAAUCAUGCACAUCUUGAUGAAAAGGGUUUGAACUUGCCCAUAUGCUGGACGUGCUAGAAGUGACGGUAUAUGUACAGACAGCAAAAUCCAGGUAUUAAGCACAAUGUAUCUACAUCUAGCCCUUCCCCACCCCUCCCUUCCCCCUCCAUCAAAACCAAGGAAAGCAUGUAAUAUUUCCAGUCUUAAACUCCCACCAUAUGCAGAAGUGCAUAGCACAGUGUAAAGGAUUAUUCCUUCAAACUAUCUUUGUCUACUGUGCAAUUUGAAUGUCGUGUCAAAUUUACGAAUUAAAAAAAAUAUACCUUACAGUGCAUUUGCAAAAUCUGAUGUAAUAUCAGUUAAAUAAAAGUGCUGUCCUUCAGUAUUUAUAAAUUUGGCUUGUCAAAAAGUACUUUUUGGACUUUGCCAAAUACACCUUUCCAAAAUUAAUGCAGAGAAAAAUUCCUUUGCAUGACUAUGGGGGAAAACUCCCCAGAGAAACAUCCUCAAACUUCUUGUGAUUUUAAUCAAAGCAUGCAUGGUUUUGAUGGAGAGAUUUUGAUGAUAUCAGAACAUUGUUCCGGCAGUUGGUUGAAACAUUUCCUAUGACUUAGAAAGUACAUUAGAAAAAAAACACUGCUGUCAUUAGAGUAGACUGCUCCAUAAAAAUCUGAAGCAAAAUCUGAAACAAUUGUAUCUUGCGCAAACUUAUCUGAACAAUUGUCGGAGGCUUAAAACUUUUUCCAAUUCCAAAUUUGGACUGUUGUCCUGAGAAAUUCUAGAAUUGAAGUUUUGAGAGAUUCCUUCCUUAUAAACAUCGAUACUUUGUGAAAUUCAGCCAACAACAAUGUCCUCGAUCAAAAGGUGACUGUGUUAAAUAUGUCUCCUACAGCAUUGACAGUCAGAUUAUAUAAGAAAAUAACCAAUUUUUCACAGUUAAGAAGAGCUAUCAUCAAGAAAUUUGAGGUGAGUGUCUUAAAAGUCUUUUGACUAAAUGGUGCAUUAAUUGGUGAAAAUGAAGAACUGGUCAAUUUUGCUCAAGCGAAGUGCAAUAUUCAAUUCCUUGUUUUGACAUCGCGUCUCAAACUGCAAAACGUGGUUCUUAACUUUCUUGAGUUAAAGGGAAAAUACAACAUUUGCAAGCAUCACAAAACGAAAUGAUCAAAUUAUCAGGAAAUACCUUACUGGA